UGUCUUCAGGGUAAGGUGUAAUUCCUAACCGGCGGUAUAGCCCGCGAGCGAAAGCUGAACUAGUUAAAUUCUAGUGCCGACAGUAAAGUCUGGAUGGAAGAAGAUU
rnacentral:ncRNA from 1 species